GGGCAGUGCUCCAGGUGUGAAUGGAGACGACUUCGAGCUCACUGUGCUGAGAAACUGCUUUUCAGAGGGCUUCUACAGAGCCCACAGCUCAUCUUCUAGAAGUCAUCUAUAGCUACUGUCAGUUUCUAGGCUUCCAAGGACACCCUUCAGCCUACUGCAAUGCAGCUUCUGACCCUACUCCUCCAUGGACAGAUGACAUCCAUUUCUGAAAUCCAGGGGCCACACUUCAAUCUAUCUCAUGAGCCCAAGAAAUUGAGGCUCCUGAUACCCAGGAUCACAUAUGCCAACACCGUAAAAUGCUCAGAAAGGCAUCCACACAGGGUAAGCAUUCAAUAAACGUUAACUAGCUUUACUUAAUACCCUUCUUUCUACUCCACCACACCCCAUUUACGGCCAGGUUGGAUCUCUUUCUACAAGAGAAAUGGAAUAAAUUUGUGCAGGAGCUCCAUACGGGCAAUAAAAAUAUCUCUGGUGACAAAGUCC
rnacentral:lncRNA from 1 species